GACGAACGCUGGCGGCGUGCCUAAUACAUGCAAGUAGAACGCUGAAGAGAGGAGCUUGUGCUUCUUGGAUGAGUUGCGAACGGGUGAGUAACGCGUAGGUAACCUGCCUUGUAGCGGGGGAUAACUAUUGGAAACGAGAGCUAAUACCGCAUAACAAUGGAUGACACAUGUCAUGUAGUUGAAAGGGGCAAUUGCUGCGCUAGAGGAUGGACCUGCGUUGUAUUAGCUAGUAGGUGAGGUAAUGGCUCACCUAGGCGGCGCUGCUUAGCCGGCCUGAGAGGGUGACCGGGCACAUUGGGACUGAGAUGCGGCCCGGACUCCUACGGGAGCAAGCAGUGGAGAAUAUUGCACAAUGGGCGGAAGCCGGAUGCAGCAACGCCGGGUGGGAGAGGACGGCCUUCGGGUUGUAAACCGCUUGCGCCUGUGAAGAAGCGUGAGUGACGGUAAUGGGUAAAGAAGCACCGGCUAACUACGUG
rnacentral:rRNA from 1 species